rnacentral:rRNA from 1 species
CAAGCCGGCCAUAGCGUCAGGGUGCGACCUAAUCCCAUUCCGAACUUAGAAGUCAAACCUGAUAGCGCUGUUGUGCUACUAAGAUGCGAG